rnacentral:rRNA from 1 species
CCUACGGGAGGCAGCAGUGGGGAAUAUUGGACAAUGGGCGAAAGCCUGAUCCAGCAAUGCCGCGUGAGUGAUGAAGGCCUUAGGGUUGUAAAGCUCUUUUACCAGGGAUGAUAAUGACAGUACCUGGAGAAUAAGCUCCGGCUAACUCCGUGCCAGCAGCCGCGGUAAUACGGAGGGAGCUAGCGUUGUUCGGAAUUACUGGGCGUAAAGCGUACGUAGGCGGUUAUUCAAGUCAGAGGUGAAAGCCUGGAGCUCAACUCCAGAACUGCCUUUGAAACUAGAUAGCUAGAAUCUUGGAGAGGUGAGUGGAAUUCCGAGUGUAGAGGUGAAAUUCGUAGAUAUUCGGAAGAACACCAGUGGCGAAGGCGACUCACUGGACAAGUAUUGACGCUGAGGUACGAAAGCGUGGGGAGCAAACAGGAUUAGAUACCCUGGUAGUCCACGCCGUAAACGAUGAUAACUAGCUGUUCGGGCUCUACGAGCUUGAGUGGCGCAGCUACGACAUUAAGUUAUCCGUCCGUCGGGAGGUACGGUCGCGAAGAAUUAAACUAACAAAGAAAGUUAGACGGCGUGAGACGUGCCGAACGGACGACGACGAGGGAGGUAGG